GGGGCAGUAGCUCAGUAGUAGAGCGCGAAACGUUGUUUCGUCAAAUUCUUGUCGUCGCAUUUUCACUUCGGCGCGAAUGCAGUUGGAAGUACAUCGUUGCAAGUUCGACUCUUGUCUGCCCCUCCA
rnacentral:tRNA from 1 species